CGGGUUCAAGUGAUUCUUCUGCCUCAGCCUCCUGAGUGGCUGGGAUUACAGGUGCAUGCCAUCACGCCUGGUUAAUUUUUAUAUCUUUAAUAGAGAUGGGGUUUCACCAUGUUGGCCAGGCUGGUCUUGAACUCCUGACCUCAAGUGAUCCACCCGCCUAGGCCUCUCAAAAUGCUGGUAUUAUAAGCGUGAGCCACUGCGCCCCGGCUCUAUUACUCCUUCUUCUGACAAAGCAUCUGCAUUUCCUUUCUAUGUGUAGAGCUGUCAAUCAAGGUGUCUUCUCUGCCUUAUCUGGCCAAGAUACAACCAAACACCCAGACUGGGCCAAUCAGACUACUGGGAAUCUCGCUUUGGAGCAGAGCAAAGAAAAGACCCAGAAGAUGUUUGGAGCCCCUCUACUCUAACUGUGAAGCCCUGGCCAGAGAGAGAAUUCCUGUGGUGGAGAAUUGUCCUGGCUUCUGCCUUGUUCUGGGCCUUGUUCUCUGGGCUUCUUUUGAAUUCUGUGAGCCACAUACAUCCUUCCAAUACAUUCAUUUACUGCUGAUGUCAACCAGAGUAAGCUUCUAUUGUGAAACCAAAAAAAUGGUGACUCAUUGUACCUGGGUUUCCCAGAGAGGGGGCGAGGGGGCAGGGCACUGCAUCCUAAUUCUCAGGGGCUAACAGGAGUAGACUGCUUUCUGAGAGGGUUUGAGGGUGUUCUGUGCUCCACCAGAAACUGGGCAUGCAGCCAGAACCACACCAGCCUCUGGAUUGCCCAACCUGGAUACUACCCAUUACUGCUUCUGGAAGGAACCCCAGGCUCUAAUUUGAAAACCAUCACUGGGAGUUGCAACUCAGCCUCCAGGCUUCACUCCCCAUCCUCUUCAGUCCAUUCUAUGAGGAGCUCAGCCCAUCAGCUAAAAGGCAAUAUUCAAAAUCCAGGCCAGGCACUGGCAGUCAGAAUGGGGUCGGAGCUGGAGCAGGGUGAAGGCAUGCGUCUGCGUUGUUGCAUGGAGGGGCACUAGGGUAGGGGCUAUCAGUCAGCCAGAUGUACAUAUUUUAAUAUUUCAACAGCCAGUUCAACUGCACCGGUGCGCACCAUCUCGCUAUCAGCUUAGCACCUACAGGACUGUGGGGGUCUUGGAGGGAGGGACUCUCCAGUGUGUUCUUGUAAUUCUCCUCGCCUCUCCCUCUUCUUCCCCACCUGUCUCUGCCUCGCCAGAGGUUUGCACAGAGCAGAUGAUUAACAUAUUUGUAAAUAAAAAUCCCAAGAUAGAAGAAAGAAAAUGAAGAGGAAGAGAAUGGGUGCAAGGAGGGGAAGGAAGAUUAAAAAGUUG
rnacentral:lncRNA from 10 species